GUGGGGAAUAUUGGACAAUGGGGGGAACCCUGAUCCAGCCAUGCCGCGUGUGUGAAGAAGGCCUUUUGGUUGUAAAGCACUUUAAGCGAGGAGGAGGCUUACCUGGUUAAUACCUGGGAUAAGUGGACGUUACUCGCAGAAUAAGCACCGGCUAACUCUGUGCCAGCAGCCGCGGUAAUACAGAGGGUGCGAGCGUUAAUCGGAUUUACUGGGCGUAAAGCGCGCGUAGGUGGUUAAUUAAGUCAAAUGUGAAAUGCCCGAGCUUAACGUGGGAAUUUCAUUCGAUACUGGUUAGCUAGAGUAUGGGAGAGGAUGGUAGAAUUCCAGGUGUAGCGGUGAAAUGCGUAGAGAUCUGGAGGAAUACCGAUGGCGAAGGCAGCCAUCUGGCCUAAUACUGACACUGAGGUGCGAAAGCAUGGGGAGCAAACAGGAUUAGAAACCCUGGUAGUCC
rnacentral:rRNA from 1 species